rnacentral:rRNA from 1 species
ACCAGACUCCUACGGGAGGCAGCAGUGGGGAAUAUUGGGCAAUGGGCGCAAGCCUGACCCAGCAACGCCGCGUGAAGGAAGAAGGCUUUCGGGUUGUAAACUUCUUUUAUGAGGGACGAAACAAAUGACGGUACCUCAUGAAUAAGCCACGGCUAACUACGUGCCAGCAGCCGCGGUAAUACGUAGGUGGCAAGCGUUAUCCGGAUUUACUGGGUGUAAAGGGGGCGCAGACGGCGAUGCAAGCCAGGAGUGAAAGCCCGGGGCCCAACCCCGGGACUGCUCUUGGAACUGCGUGGCUGGAGUGCAGGAGGGGCAGGCGGAAUUCCUGGUGUAGCGGUGAAAUGCGUAGAUAUCAGGAGGAACACCGGUGGCGAAGGCGGCCUGCUGGACUGGAACUGACGUUGAGGCCCGAAAGCGUGGGGAGCAAACAGGAUUAGAUACCCUAGUACG